rnacentral:miRNA from 1 species
GCUCGCUGCCCUGGCUUCCUCUUUAGCCUUGCGCAGCCUCCCGCGGCUGGAGAGGCGCGCAAGGCUAAAGAGGAAGCCAGGGCAGCAAGC